rnacentral:rRNA from 1 species
AUGCUGCUAUGCAUGGCCAGUGCAAUCAGCCCGGAAGGAGAAGCACUCCUCCGGUGGAAGUCCACUUUGCUCAAUUCCACCUACCUGUCAUCAUGGUCGCAUGCCGAAUCGACCUGUGAUUGGUUCGGUGUCACCUGUGACAAUGCCGGCCAUGUUACCGCACUCGAGCUAUCCUGGUUCAGCCUCAAUGGCACGCUCAACGCCUUGUACUUCCCGGCAUUCCGGAACAUCACCACACUUGACCUCUGCGGCAACAACCUCAUCGGUACCAUCCCAGAAAACAUAUCGCUGCUGCUCACCUUGGCCUACCUGGAUUUGAGCAACAACUAUUUUGUUGGUGCGAUCCCCCAUCAACUCGGCAAGCUCCCAUGGAUUCGUUAUAUCGAUCUUGGGAAUAACUACUUAACCAACCCAGACCCUGCCAAGUUCUCGCCUUUGUCCACCGUGCAAACCUUACAUCUAAAUGAUAACAAUCUCAACGGCACUUUUCCACAGUUCAUCCUGAACCGCACCAACGUUAGGUUGAAGGACUUCGACCUAUCAGUAUUGCAAACAACUCCUUCACCGGAAGCAUUCCACGGGAGGUCAGCAGAUGGGAGUCCCUGCAGUACCUCCUCCUUUCUGGCAACUGCUUCAACAGCUCAAUCCCCGCGGAGCUAG